rnacentral:rRNA from 1 species
UACGGAGGGUGCAAGCGUUAGUCGGAAUUACUGGGCGUAAAGGGUGCGUAGGCGGGGAUAUAAGUCAGAUGUGAAAAACCAAGGCUCAACCUUGGCAGUGCAUCUGAAACUGUAUUUCUAGAGGGAUAGCGGAGAAAACGGAAUUCCACGUGUAGCGGUGAAAUGCGUAGAUAUGUGGAAGAACACCUGUGGCGAAAAGCGGUUUUCUAGCUUAAACCUGACGCUGAGGCACGAAAGCAAGGGGAGCAAACAGG